rnacentral:lncRNA from 1 species
AGGCGCUGGGCCAGCCUUUCCCAGCUGGCGGGGGCGCUGGUGCCUGCCUGGACUGCACGACCGGGCUGUCCCGACACCAGCAGGCUGUUGGAGCUCUGGCUCCGGGGCCAGACACACUUACUGGUGUUUCUGCUUUAAAACAAAACCCAAAACCCUUCCUCAGCAAGAGGUGUGCUGCGCUGAGAGCUGAAGUCAGCAUUCACCUGUUUUGCAGAGACCGUCUCCGAGGGAGGCAGCUCGGGGAGCAGCGCCUGGAUUAUCUUCCGCCUCUAGACCCAGAGCGGUAACUGCCUUCCCUCACCAGCCCCGGAAUAAAGACCCUUUAUUAUACACCUUGUUAAAACGGCUAUUUAUUUUUUUAAUUACUCAGUGAAUUUUAUUACAUUUGUAGGUAUACAACGAUCAUCACAACCCAAUUUUAUAGCAUUUCCAUCCCAAACCCCAGCCCAUCCCCCCACCCCCCAACCUGUCUCCUUUGGAAACCAUACGUUUUUCAAAGUCUGUGAGUCAGUAUCUGUUCUGCAAAGAGGUUCAUUGUAUCCCUUUAUUAGAUUCCACAGGUAAGUGACAGCAUUUGAUGCUGGUGUCUCAUUGCCUGACUUCACUCAGCAGGAUCAUUUCUAGGUCCAUCCAUGUGGCUGCAAAUGCCGUGUGUCUUUCUUUUGAAUGGCUGCGUAAUAUUCCACUGUGUGUGUGGACCACGUCUUCUGGAUCCCCUCCUCUGUCGAUGGGCAUUUAGGUUGUUUCCAUGUCUUGGCUGUUGUAUAUAGUGCUGCAGUGAACAUCAGAGUCCGUGUGUCUUUGUGAGUCGUGGUUUUCUCUGGAUAGAUGCCCAGGAGUGGGAUUGCUGGAUCAAAUGGUAGUUCUGUUUUUAGUUUUCUGAGGCAUCUCCAUACUGUUUUCCACAGUGGUUGCACCAGUUUACAUUCCCACCAACAGGGUACUAGGGUUCCUUUUUCUCCACACCCUCCCUAACACUUACUGUUUGUAGGCUUUUUGAUGACAGCCGUUCUGGCUGGUGUAAUAUGAUACCUCAUAGUGGUUUUGGUUUGCAUUUCUCUAAUAAUGAGUGAUGUUGAACAUCUUUUCAUGUGUUUUUUGACCAUCUGUAUGUCUUUGGAGAACUGUCUGUUUAGAUCUUCUGCUCAUUUUUUGAUGGGGUGGUUUGUUUGGUAUUGAGCUGCAGAAGGUGUUUAUAAAUUUUGGAGAUUAAUCCCUUGGCAGUCAAUUCAUUUGCAAAGAUUUUUCUCCCAUUCUGUGGGUUGUCUUUUCGUUUUGUUUAGGAUUUCCUUUACUUUGCAGAAACUUUUUAAGUUUAAUUAAGUCCCAUUUGUUAAUUUUUGUUUUUAUUGUCAUUACUCUAGGAGGUGGAUCUGAGAAGGAUAUUGCCAUGGUUUAUGUCAGAGGGUGUUUGGCCUAUAUUUUCCUCUAAGAGUUUUAUAGUAUCUGGUCUUAUAUCUAGGUCUUUAAUCCAUUUGGAGUUUAUUUUUGUGUAUGGUGUUAGGGAGUGUUCUAAUUUCAUUCUUUUCCAUGUGGCUGUCCAGUUUUCCCAGCACCACUUAUUGAAGGGGCUGUCUUUUCUCCAUUGGAUAUUCUUGCCUCCUUUGUCAGAUUAGUUAACUGUAGCUGCGUGGGUUUAAUUCUGGGCUUUCUAUCCGGCUCCACUGAGCUGUAUUUCUGUCUUUGUGCCAGUACCAUACGGUUUUGAUGACUGUAGCUUUGUAGUAUGGUCUGAACUCAGGGAGCCUGAUUCCUCCAGCUCCAUUUUUCUUUCUCGAGAUGGACUUUGGCUAUUCUGGGUCUUUUGUGCCUCCAAACAAACUUUAAAAUAUUUUGUUGUAGUUCUGUGGAAAAUGUUUUUGGUAAUUUGAUAGGGAUUGCAUUGAAUUGGUAGAUUGCCUUGGGUAAUAUAGUCAUUUUGAUAAUAUUGAUUCUUCCAGUCCAAGAGCAUGGUAUGUCUUUCCUUCUGUGUCAUCUUUGAUUUCUUUCAUCAGCAUCUUAUAAUUUUCAGAGAACAGGUCUUUUGUCUCUUUAAGUAGGUAUUUUUCCUAAGUAUCUCAUUCUUUUUGAUGUGAUGGUAAAUGGGAUUGUUUCCCUAAUUUCUCUUUCUGAUCUUUCAUUGUUAGUAUAUAGAAAUGCAAAUUCCUGGUACUUAUUCUGGUUUCUUUCCAGAAGGAAGGUGGUAAACCCACUCCAAGAUUUUAAAUCUGCAGUUGGAAUGUAUCUGUCACAUGAAAAUGGGAAGUUGCUGCUUUGGGUCUGUUUUGUUUUGUCUUUAAAUAAACCCUUAUUGUGGAAGGAUUGGAUUCAGACUCAGGCUGGCUUUUUAUUAAUUUGAAUUUAUGGAAUGUUGAAAUGAGUUAAAACGAAUGGCAUCGGGGAAGACCUGAAGUUUGCAAACUGGGAGAGCCCACUUGUGUGUCCAGAGCCCCUGCCAGCUUAGCCCCCUCUCACUUCCCAGGCUGCUGCAACCCCUUGAAGAAACAAAAUAUUUAGGCACAGUGACUUUCACAACGUGGGGGGAAAUAAAUCUCAGAUGAAUAGGAGAUGGAAACUGGGCUGGGCAGGGAAGAGGGUACAGAAACUAGACCAUCGAAUACCUACUAGGUACAGACACUGCUAGUUGCUUUGCCCCUGGGAACUUUAACCCCCGUGUAGUUUUAUAAAUGAAAACAGGUUUAGAGACAGGGGCAACCCCAAAACCUAUACCUCUGACUCUCACCCUAAUGUUUGUUAAGCGAAUGAAGGAAAUGAGAACAGAGGCUCAGAGAGGUUAGGUGAUUUGCCUGAAGUCACCCAGCAGUUAAGGGGAUCAGGUCAGUUUCACGUCAGUCCUUCGUUCUCAGGUACUCUGUGCCUAGAGUUCCAUCCUGGGAAUUGACCUUGUGUCUUCCACCCAGCAUGGCCUUUUUGAGUCUCUCCUCUGGGCCCAGAGCAGGUUGUAGCUCCAGCACUUGGCUUACCUCCCUGACUGCGAGAGAAACAGGGAAGAGAAAAGAAGCAGAGGCACACCCCCAAGGGCAGAGUAGACUGUGCUCCCACCCCAGCUCUCACAUCUGUCUCCCUGCAGUACAUACCGGCAUGUAAUUGUGCAACUGCUGGAGUGGGAGCUCUUUGAGGUCAGGAAGCCUGUCUUUGUAACCUCUGUCACCACCAAUUAACAUGGUGUUGGCACUAGGAGGGGUCAGUACACGUCUAGCGGUUAAAUGUCCACAGUACUUAUGUUGAAGGCAUUAGAACAUCUUUAAUUGAAUGUCGCACUCCCUAAUGGUGGGGGCUCAGGUCAUGCUGUCUUGGUUCCCCAGGGCCUAUUAGAAUGCACAGCCAUGUGGGACUUUGAUGGGCAGUGGGAGAACCUGGUUGGAGAAGGUGGCCAGAGGGUGGAGAGUUGAGGGCCAGGAAGAUGGAGCAGGAGAGGGAAGGACAGAUGCAUUUCACUGACUUGACAGUUUCGCCUGAUGUUUGUCUGACUAGCCACAAGCAGAAAGUUAUUUUGGGAAACAAAUAAUUUAGCUGUAGGAUAGCCACAGAGAUAUACUUCAAAAUACCAGUCUAGGUAGGUCUCCUGUGGCCGCAGCAGGUUAAGGAUCCCAUGUUGUUGCUGCUGUGGCGCAGGUUUGAUCCCUGGCGUGGGAAUGUCCGUGUGCCUCAG